rnacentral:piRNA from 1 species
GCUCAUGUCAGAACUGCAGAGAUCACAUGGA